CCGCAGGCGGCCAUGGCGGCGGGCGCGGGGGCCAGGCCGGCGCCGCGCGGCCUCCGGGCGCUGUGGGAGCCGCUGGGCGCGGCGCAGCUGCGGCGGCUGCGGGAGCACCGCUACCGCGCGGCGGGCGUGUCGCUGCUCGAGCCGCCGCUGCAGCUCUACUGGACCUGGCUGCUCCGCUGGGUGCCGCUCUCGCUGGCCCCCAACUCCAUCACGCUGCUGGGCCUGCUCGUCAACCUGCUCACCACGCUCGUGCUCGUCUCCUACUGCCCCACGGCCACCGAGGAGGCUCCAUACUGGACAUACCUUUUAUGUGCCCUGGGACUCUUUAUCUACCAGUCACUGGAUGCGAUUGAUGGGAAACAAGCCAGAAGAUUAAAUUCUUGUUCUCCUUUAGGGGAACUCUUUGACCAUGGUUGUGAUUCUCUUUCUACAGUAUUCAUGGCGGUGGGGGCCUCCCUGGCCGUGCGCCUAGGAACAAAUCCCGACUGGCUGUUCUUCUGCUCCUUCAUCGGCAUGUUCAUGUUUUAUUGUGCCCACUGGCAGACUUACGUUUCAGGCGUGUUGAGGUUUGGAAAAGUGGAUGUCACAGAAAUCCAGGUAGCGUUAAUGAUGGUGUUUAUAUUGUCUGCAUUCGGAGGAGCAACAAUGUGGGACUAUUCAAUACCCAUUGUAGAAAUAAAAUUGAAGACCUUUCCAAUUCUUGGAGUAGUAUGUGGAGCAAUAUUUUCCUGUUCCAAUUAUUUCCAUGUGAUCCUCCAUGGAGGUGUUGGCAAGAAUGGAUCCACUAUAGCAGGCACCAGUGUCUUGUCACCUGGCCUCCACAUAGGAAUUAUUAUUAUACUGGCAAUAAUGAUCUAUAAAAAGUCAGCAACUAAUGUGUUUGAGAAGCAUCCUUGUUUAUAUACCCUAAUGUUUGGAUGUGUCUUUGCUAAAGUCUCACAAAAAUUGGUGAUAGCACACAUGACCAAAAGUGAACUGUAUCUUCAAGACACUGUCUUUUUUGGCCCAGGUCUUUUAUUUUUAGAUCAAUAUUUUAAUAAUUUUGUAGAUGAACAUGUUGUUUUAUGGAUUGCAAUGGUCAUUUCUUCAUUUGAUAUGAUGAUAUACUUUAGUGCUUUGUGCCUGCAAAUUUCAAGACACCUUCAUAUAAAUAUUUUCAAGACUUCCUAUCAUCAAGCACCUGAACAGGUUCACAAGCAUAUUGACUAAUAAUCCAAGGAAAAGAGGAGAAGCAGUUAGGGGAACCAAUGAGUGAAGGAAAUCUCCUUUUGCAGGAGGUUCAAGUUCUUCCUUCAAAGAGUCAUCAGAAUAGCAUGGAUUGAAGAGACUUUCGAACACUUGCCAUCUCUUGCUGCUGCUAUUACACAAAAGGAAAUAAUAAACAUUUGUUUAAUUUUUAGAUAAGUGUUACACAUAUUUCAGCAAAUAAAUAUUUCAGUGCUCUAUUAA